UUGUGAAAACUGGCAUCAACCUGCAAAUCUAUGUUUUAUUAAAAACUAUAUUUUCCUUUACAGGCCGGCUUCUUAAAAUUAUCCAUAUGCCCUUUCACAGGAGAAAGUUUUCCAGUAGGACAGGGGAGCACAAGACAGAGGAAACAAAAGAAUCUAGGACAGUGAGGACACUUGCAACAGAGCCCUAUGGAAGACAGACUUCAAGGAGAUAUUCCAGGGAAAGUGAAGCAGCAGGCCUAAGGACAAGCCUGUCACUCUAAGGCUUGCUGAGUGUGCUGUCAUCCAUCCAUAUUGAGGAGCAGGAGCUGUAGUUCCUCGUCAGCUGACAGUAGAAGAAAAUGUCACAAUUUGAUCCCACCUACAUUCUGGAAUACAUCUGCCAACAGCUGCAUCAUAAAACAUUUCUCUGAAAGUGUUCCAGUGACAGUGUAAGAGAUUGAGCAUAUUUAAUAUUUUCCUCAGCAUGGGAAAGACCUUAAAGGCAUGACCCAUUUUGUAUAAGUAUAUGAACAUUCUGAGAUGGUUAGACAAUCUGUCUGGUGAUAUCAACAACACACAGCACAUCUGGGUUUCCCUUGACAAAUCUCAAGCAUUAGAGCUACCUGGAGAUGCUCCUCCAACCUUCCUCGAGAAAGUUUUCCAGUAGAACAGGGGAGCAAAAGACAGAGGAAACAAAAGAAUCUAGGACAGUGAGGACACUUGCAACAGAGCCCUAUGGAAGACAGACUUCAAGGAGAUAUUCCAGGGAAAGUGAAGCAGCAGGCCUAAGGACAAGCCAGUCCCUCUAAGGCUUGCUGAGUGUGCUGUCAUCCAUCCAUAUUGAGGAGCAGGAGCUGUAGUUCCUCGUCAGCUGACAGUAGAAGAAAAUGUCACAAUUUGAUCCCACCUACAUUCUGGAAUACAUCUGCCAACAGCUGCAUCAUAAAACAUUUCUCUGAAAGUGUUCCAGUGACAGUGUAAGAGAUUGAGCAUAUUUAAUAUUUUCCUCAGCAUGGGAAAGACCUUAAAGGCAUGACCCAUUUUGUAUAAGUAUAUGAACAUUCUGAGAUGGUUAGACAAUCUGUCUGGUGAUAUCAACAACACACAGCACAUCUGGGUUUCCCUUGACAAAUCUCAAGCAUUAGAGCUACCUGGAGAUGCUCCUCCAACCUUCCUCGAGAAAGUUUUCCAGUAGAACAGGGGAGCACAAGACAGAGGAAACAAAAGAAUCUAGGACAGUGAGGACACUUGCAACAGAGCCCUAUGGAAGACAGACUUCAAGGAGAUAUUCCAGGGAAAGUGAAGCAGCAGGCCUAAGGACAAGCCAGUCCCUCUAAGGCUUGCUGAGUGUGCUGUCAUCCAUCCAUAUUGAGGAGCAGGAGCUGUAGUUCCUCGUCAGCUGACAGUAGAAGAAAAUGUCACAAUUUGAUCCCACCUACAUUCUGGAAUACAUCUGCCAACAGCUGCAUCAUAAAACAUUUCUCUGAAAGUGUUCCAGUGACAGUGUAAGAGAUUGAGCAUAUUUAAUAUUUUCCUCAGCAUGGGAAAGACCUUAAAGGCAUGACCCAUUUUGUAUAAGUAUAUGAACAUUCUGAGAUGGUUAGACAAUCUGUCUGGUGAUAUCAACAACACACAGCACAUCUGGGUUUCCCUUGACAAAUCUCAAGCAUUAGAGCUACCUGGAGAUGCUCCUCCAACCUUCCUCGAGAAAGUUUUCCAGUAGAACAGGGGAGCACAAGACAGAGGAAACAAAAGAAUCUAGGACAGUGAGGAUACUCGCAACAGAGCCCUAUGGAAGACAGACUUCAAGGAGAUAUUCCAGGGAAAGUGAAGCAGCAGGCCUAAGGACAAGCCAGUCCCUCUAAGGUAGGAAAGCCUGUGAGGGCAGUCUCUGGGAGAAAACUGAAGCAAGGGUGUUUUAGAAUGUGAACAAUGUCCUGGCAGGCAUGUGACUAAUGUUACAGCAUUGCGGGGAUUGUUGUUAAGAAAACUGUCCCAGUAAGAAUACAAGAUUGACCUCCCUCAAAGAUGAAGAACGUGAAAACAGAAAGAGCUCUGGGGUUCCUUAUCCUACUUGGUUUUGUGAACUAAUGCUCCUUAGGGAUCAUCCAGCAACAGUGCAGAGCUGUGUACAUUUCAGAAAUACUUUAGAGAAAGAAUUAAAUUAUACAAAGGCAGAACAGUGUAACUGUUAUUACAUAACCU